rnacentral:rRNA from 1 species
GACGAACGCUGGCGGCGUGCCUAAUACAUGCAAGUCGAGCGAACGGACGAGAAGCUUGCUUCUCUGAUGUUAGCGGCGGACGGGUGAGUAACACGUGGAUAACCUACCUAUAAGACUGGGAUAACUUCGGGAAACCGGAGCUAAUACCGGAUAAUAUUUUGAACCGCAUGGUUCAAAAGUGAAAGACGGUCUUGCUGUCACUUAUAGAUGGAUCCGCGCUGCAUUAGCUAGUUGGUAAGGUAACGGCUUACCAAGGCAACGAUGCAUAGCCGACCUGAGAGGGUGAUCGGCCACACUGGAACUGAGACACGGUCCAGACUCCUACGGGAGGCAGCAGUAGGGAAUCUUCCGCAAUGGGCGAAAGCCUGACGGAGCAACGCCGCGUGAGUGAUGAAGGUCUUCGGAUCGUAAAACUCUGUUAUUAGGGAAGAACAAAUGUGUAAGUAACUGUGCACAUCUUGACGGUACCUAAUCAGAAAGCCACGGCUAACUACGUG